CCUACGGGUGGCAGCAGUGGGGAAUAUUGCGCAAUGGGCGAAAGCCUGACGCAGCGACGCCGCGUGAGGGAUGAAGGCCUUCGGGUUGUAAACCUCUUUCAGCAGGGAAGCGGUACCUGCAGAAGAAGCACCGGCUAACUACGUGCCAGCAGCCGCGGUAAUACGUAGGGUGCAAGCGUUGUCCGGAAUUAUUGGGCGUAAAGAGCUCGUAGGCGGUUUGUCGCGUCUGCUGUGAAAACUCGGGGCUCAACCCCGAGCUUGCAGUGGGUACGGGCAGACUAGAGUGCGGUAGGGGAGACUGGAAUUCCUGGUGUAGCGGUGGAAUGCGCAGAUAUCAGGAGGAACACCGGUGGCGAAGGCGGGUCUCUGGGCCGUACUGACGCUGAGGAGCGAAAGCAUGGGGAGCGAACAGGAUUAGAUACCCUUGUAGUC
rnacentral:rRNA from 1 species